GAUGAACGCUGGCGGCGUGCCUAAUACAUGCAAGUAGAACGCUGAAGGAGGAGCUUGCUCUUCUGGAUGAGUUGCGAACGGGUGAGUAACGCGUAGGUAACCUGCCUGGUAGCGGGGGAUAACUAUUGGAAACGAUAGCUAAUACCGCAUGACAACAGUUAUUGCAUGAUAACUGUUUAAAAGGGGCAACUGCUCCACUACCAGAUGGACCUGCGUUGUAUUAGCUAGUUGGUGAGGUAACGGCUCACCAAGGCGACGAUACAUAGCCGACCUGAGAGGGUGAUCGGCCACACUGGGACUGAGACACGGCCCAGACUCCUACGGGAGGCAGCAGUAGGGAAUCGUCGGCAAUGGACGGAAGUCUGACCGAGAAACGCCGCGUGAGUGAAGAAGGUUUUCGGAUCGUAAAGCUCUGUUGUAAGAGAAGAACGAGUGUGAGAGUGGAAAGUUCACACUGUGACGGUAGCUUACCAGAAAGGGACGGCUAACUACGUG
rnacentral:rRNA from 1 species